rnacentral:rRNA from 1 species
GCUUGCCUAAAGGGGCCGUAGCCUGUUUGGUACAUCUCUUGUGAAAUUGUUCGGCUUAACCGGACAGCGUGCAGGAGACACGGCCAGACUCGAGACCGGGAGGCGUGUGAAGUAUGUCGUGGGGACUGGUAAAAUGGGAUAAUCCACGAUAGACUACCGAUGGCGAAGGCAUCACACGAGAACGGAUCUGACGGUGAGGAACGAAAGCUAGGGGAGCGAACCGGAUUAGAUACCCGAGUAGUCCUAGCCGUAAACGCUGUGAGCAAGGUGUCGCGCAUCUCACGAAGAUGCGCGGUGUCGCAACGAGGGUGCUAAGCUCACCGCCUGGGAAGUACGGUCGCAAGACUGAAACUUUAAGGAAUUGGCGGGGGCGCACUACAAGGGGUGCGGCGUGCGGUUUAAUCCAACUCAACGCGGAGAAUCUUACUAGGGGCGACGGCAGGAUGAAGGUCGUGCUAAAGACACUACCAGACGAGCCGAGAGGUAGUGCAUGGCCGCCGUCAGCUCGUGCCGUGAGGUGUCCUGUUAAGUCAGGUAACGAGCAAGACCUGCAUCCACAAUUGCUAACGAACUCUGUGAUCGGGCACAUUGUGGAGACUGCCCGUGUAAACGGGAGGAAGGUGCAGGCUACGGUAGGUCCGCAUGCCCCGAAAAGCC